AGUGAACGCUGGCGGUGGGCCUAACACAUGCAAGUCGAGCGGCAGCACAGUAAGAGCUUGCUCUUACGGGUGGCGAGUGGCGGACGGGUGAGGAAUACAUCGGAAUCUACUUUUUCGUGGGGGAUAACGUAGGGAAACUUACGCUAAUACCGCAUACGACCUACGGGUGAAAGCAGGGGAUCUUCGGACCUUGCGCGAUUGAAUGAGCCGAUGUCGGAUUAGCUAGUUGGCGGGGUAAAGGCCCACCAAGGCGACGAUCCGUAGCUGGUCUGAGAGGAUGAUCAGCCACACUGGAACUGAGACACGGUCCAGACUCCUACGGGAGGCAGCAGUGGGGAAUAUUGGACAAUGGGCGCAAGCCUGAUCCAGCCAUACCGCGUGGGUGAAGAAGGCCUUCGGGUUGUAAAGCCCUUUUGUUGGGAAAGAAAAGCAGCAGGUUAAUACCCCGCUGUUCUGACGGUACCCAAAGAAUAAGCACCGGCUAACUUCGUG
rnacentral:rRNA from 1 species